AACAAUGAAUAAUUAAUUCACUAUAGAAAAAAUUAGUUUCAUGUGAAUUUAUUAGUAACUAAAUCUUUUAACUGUACUUUGUAAAGUAGAGUAACGUGUUUGAGAAAAUUGGUAAUAUGGUUAACAUGAUCUUUUUGAAACACUUUUUGAAUCUUCUGUCGUCGAGAAAUUUGAAUGAAAAUUAAAAAUAAAUCAACGAGAUAGGUCAUCGUGGAUAUCACCUGCGAUUCUUGUUCCAAACUUUAUUUCUUAAGUCUUUUUCUUCUUGUUGAUUCUUAAUUUUUUGAAACUCAACUAUUAGAUUUUAAUUAAUAACUAAAAUUGAAGGCACUAUUCUAAUAUUAGUUUGGAUAAAUUUUCAAAUUACUUUACUUGUUAUAAGUUUGGUACACAAAUGUUUGUGCUUUUGAAAAAGAAUUUUACACAGACCACGACCUGGGUCAAGGGAGCCGCCCGAAACAGGGAUGAAAUAAUCCGCAUUGAGAAAACGAGAGAAACACGCAGGCUGAACAUGCGCACGUGAUUGCUCCUCUCCAAGUAUCAUUCGCAUAUAAAGGAUAAUUGCGUAUACGAUUCUGCAUCGCUUACACUUUUAUCGCAUAUUAUAUACUUUAAAAACAUAUAUAAAAUUUUUAUAGGAGCUAAACAAGUAACAAAGUUGAAGAACUUAGUUAUUGGCCUUGACUAGAACAUUAUAUUAAUCUGUAUAGUUGAAAAAAAUUUCACACAUAAUUAUGCGGAAAUAUUUCAGUGAAUGAGCUCACAUUACUAUUUCUUUCAUACACUGAAGUGAUGACGCAAAUCAUACAUGGAUGAGACUCUUACAAAACGCACAUACAACAACACAGUAGUGUUUAUACGACUGAUGGGAUAAUGGAUCAAGAAGUUCACUGUAA